GAGAUACAAGAGUGACUGUGUCAAGGGGGCCUGGCAUGCAAGGCUUAGAGCCCACCAGCAGCAUAUCAAUCCUACGUGCAUGAUAUGAUGAUACCACCACUUCCUUCUUACCACCACACGGCUCUAUUUCCAUGUUUACGGCUUGUUUACGGAAGCGUCUUUGAAUGAUCGUGUGAAACGGAUGGACGGCAGAAAAUAGUUGAAACUGAGAAGUACUGUUGGCUGCAACUGUGUUAAAGGGAAAUAAAUAAAAAUAACGUCUACUUCAUAUCUAUCAUCUCCAGCACCACCCCCAACAAUCUCAAUUG
rnacentral:lncRNA from 1 species